UAGCGCCAACAAUGCUUUAACUCGACAAUCAACGUGCACCUCCGGACCACCUCCGACCACCCGAACACUUACUGAAUGACGGCAGCCUCAACAACAUCAAAACAAACGGUCUCAAAAAGGUAGUUGUUAUGAUCGAACCACCCUCAUACUGAAACAAACAACUGGGAAUUCCGCUAUUCACUAUUAGACUGAAAACACACCGCUUGUAAGGCUGCCCCUCUUUACUUGUAUUCCGUAGCUAUUGCUUCCAGUACUUCAACCCUUACCAACA
rnacentral:lncRNA from 1 species